rnacentral:lncRNA from 10 species
GCGAGGAGGACGGCUUCGGGGAAGCAGAAAGGUACAACUUGCUGGGGUAAAGCAGAGCUGAAAUUCAAACCCAAGUGACCCUGACCCCCAAGUCCAAUCCUGAGUUUCGGCUGUUACCAACCUGGAGGACCCUGGGCAGAAUACGCUGCCAUCAACUCCAUGCUGGACCAGAUCAACUCCUGUCUGGACCACCUGGAGGAGAAGAAUGACCACCUCCACGCCCGCCUCCAGGAGCUGCUGGAGUCCAACCGGCAGACACGCCUGGAGUUCCAGCAGCAGCUCGGGGAGGCCCCCAGUGAUGCCAGCCCCUAGGCUCCAAGAGCCCCCAACCGGGACCCAACCCUGCCUCCCUGGGCUAGGCUCUGGCCUGGGCACUCACCCCCUGGCUUAGACACCUUCUCAAGGGCUGGCCUUCAGGGACCCCUGGUGGGUCU